GCCUGGGUAGCUCAGUCGGUUGAGCAUGUGACUCUUAAUUUCAGCUCAAAUCACAAUCUCACACUUCAUGGGUUCCAACCCUGUAUCAGGCU
rnacentral:tRNA from 1 species